rnacentral:rRNA from 1 species
UCUAGAGGCUUCGGCAAUGGGGGAAACCCUGACCGAGCGACGCCGCGUGUGGGAUUGAAGGCCUUCGGGUCGUAAACCACUGUCAUUGGGAAAGAAUGCCCUGGUGGCGAACCAGGGAGUGACGGUACCCAAGAAGGAAGCCCCGGCUAACUCCGUGCCAGCAGCCGCGGUAAUACGGAGGGGGCGAGCGUUGUUCGGAUUUACUGGGCGUAAAGGGUGUGUAGGCGGUUGCGCAAGUCUGGUGUGAAAUCUUCACCGCUUAACGGGAAGAGGUCACUGGAAACUGCGUAACUCGAGUAUGGUAGAGGCAAGCGGAAUUCCUGGUGUAGCGGUGGAAUGUGUAGAUAUCAGGAAGAACACCGGUGGCGAAGGCGGCUUGCUGGGCCAUCACUGACGCUGAGACACGAAAGCGUGGGGAGCAAACG